ACAUGCAAGUCGAGGGGCAGCAUGGUCUUAGCUUGCUAAGGCCGAUGGCGACCGGCGCACGGGUGAGUAACACGUAUCCAACCUGCCGUCUACUCUUGGACAGCCUUCUGAAAGGAGGAUUAAUACAAGAUGGCAUCAUGAGUCCGCAUGUUCACAUGAUUAAAGGUAUUCCGGUAGACGAUGGGGAUGCGUUCCAUUAGAUAGUAGGCGGGGUAACGGCCCACCUAGUCUUCGAUGGAUAGGGGUUCUGAGAGGAAGGUCCCCCACAUUGGAACUGAGACACGGUCCAAACUCCUACGGGAGGCAGCAGUGAGGAAUAUUGGUCAAUGGGCGAGAGCCUGAACCAGCCAAGUAGCGUGAAGGAUGACUGCCCUAUGGGUUGUAAACUUCUUUUAUAAAGGAAUAAAGUCGGGUAUGCAUACCCGUUUGCAUGUACUUUAUGAAUAAGGAUCGGCUAACUCCGUGCCAGCAGCCGCGGUAAUACGGAGGAUCCGAGCGUUAUCCGGAUUUAUUGGGUUUAAAGGGAGCGUAGAUGGAUGUUUAAGUCAGUUGUGAAAGUUUGCGGCUCAACCGUAAAAUUGCAGUUGAUACUGGAUAUCUUGAGUGCAGUUGAGGCAGGCGGAAUUCGUGGUGUAGCGGUGAAAUGCUUAGAUAUCACGAAGAACUCCGAUUGCGAAGGCAGCCUGCUAAGCUGCAACUGACAUUGAGGCUCGAAAGUGUGGGUAUCAAACAGGAUUAGAUACCCUGGUAGUCCACACGGUAAACGAUGAAUACUCGCUGUUUGCGAUAUACGGCAAGCGGCCAAGCGAAAGCGUUAAGUAUUCCACCUGGGGA
rnacentral:rRNA from 1 species